ACUAAGCAUCCAAAUGACAACGUCAGAGAGGAAGACACUUUGGAUCGGGCUGUGAAUCAAGUGGGAUUAAUAAGUAAAAAAAAUGAUAGGGCAGAGAGUUGACAAGUGAAAUAAGGCAGUCUGCCGUUGCCAAGGUUUCCGUGUUCGCGCCGACUGCCUGCCAGCCUGCGCGCGCCACACUCCAUUGGCAGACAUGGCGGCGGACCUCCAGCCACAGUGGAUUUGUGGUCUGCCUUCUUCCUGGAGUUAUGGGGUUACUCGCGACGGACGGGUCUUCUUCGUCAACGAAGAAGCCAAGAGUACAACCUGGCUGCAUCCACUGAGUGGAGAGGCGGUCAUAACCGGACACCGGAAAACUCCAGAUCUACCCACUGGAUGGGAAGAAGGAUAUACGUUUGAGGGUGCACGAUGCUUUAUUAAAUGAGGACCAAUCAGCGGGAGUUUCAUUGAUCGACCAGUGAGCGGACAGGAUGCUAUUCAGUACCGCGUCAGAUUUCCCGGAGCUAUUUCACGUUUCUAAAAAAGAAUAUACAGAUAUAAAGACAAAGCAGCGGCAUGCAAACUUGUUGGUGGCAGAGUGAACGUAUCAGACAAAUACUUUCAACAGCUCAACAAGAGACAGGCCUGGCACACAGUAGCUACUUCCUGACUACAGUAUGGCAACACCCUGAGGACACACUGAAGCAUUCUAGAGACAGCGCCACCUGCAAAGAAUUGGAAGCAAAAAUGGUUUCAACUGUGCGGCAUAAUAGCGUAGUUUUAACACUGGCUUCCGUCAGCCUUUCGUCCAAAAGACAGACCAGUAUUUAAAGCUUCACUGUCCUUGGGAUUCACUUCUUUUCUAUGAAUUGCUUUGAACCACGUGAAUGUGCAAUGAUUGUCCAUGCACCUGGAUGGAUCCAUCGCAGAGUUGGGUCGGAAAGAAAUGUGUAUAUAACAUCCAUCAAUUGUUAUACCUCCCAGCCUGAGGCCGUAGCCUCUUGCCCGUUGACGCUGCAUGUUUACAGCCCUCAUUCCAAGGAUGGAGCUAAUUGCUGUUGGCCACAUAGAUAAAUGAACUUAGUAAUGAAAAACAGGAGUCACAAAGCCGGAGGCCAGUGUAAUUGAAUUCCGGUAUAUUCCGUUUUUUAUGUCUCAGUCAAUGACUUCUUGUCAGUGUCCUUUGUGGGCAAUUUGCUGCAGCAUCAACAUGAAGCGCCACAUAAAAUAUGAAAUAUUGUCAUAAUGUACUGUGCAGUCACUGCUUUCAGGCUGUUCACUUGUACUUUUGCAUAAUUCAGCAAGCAGAACUGAGAAAGAAAGAGCAUGUCAAAUUGAACUUUGGCUAAUUUCCAAAGUCUGUGUUUGGCUCUUGGAUCGUUCGUGCGGUGCAAUAAUUCUAAAACGGAACAGUUGAGUGUCUCUUUUGUCUGCAUCAGUAUUCAGUCGAUGUAAUUACGGGUGAAAAAUCUAAAUGAACACUCUUAGUAGUGAUUGUUCUUGAUAGGCUAGAAAUAUCUUUUCCAAGGUUGCCAUGGAAUUGAAGUCAGACCACAGAUUGCCACAGUCAGACGUUGUACUACAGUACAGAGUAGAGAAACAUAUUGAAUAGGGGUGCAACAAUACAUAAAUCUGUAUUGAACCGUUCGAUACGGUGGUCGCUAUGAAUUGAACGAUACCGUAACCCAAGUCGCCUGCUAGAUGUCACGAUGUCGAUGACAUGGAAGCAAUUGUCCAGAUUUUGAAUAAAGUAGCUCAACGGUAAGAUGCAUAUGCUGUACAUACAGUAAAAGGCCUCAUUGCGUUUGUCACAGCUGCAUCCAUGAAAAACCUUUAAAAAAGUCGCUUGUUUGAUGAACUGCAUGGACUGCCAUGAACUGCCUUAUGGAAAUGUGCUUUUCUACAUUUACUUUUUAUUGCUGCUGCUAUUUUAUGACUUAUUGAAAAGUCUUUUAUUGUUUAACUUUUUUUUAAUGUAUUCCCUUGACUUCGGCUGUAUUGCCAUUUUGAUAAUUGUUUUUGUUUAUUGUAUAAUUGUAAGGUUUAAUAGGAAACUGGAUUUGUAUAUGAACUGUGGAAUGCUGCAUAGUUUGAUUGAAAUACUACUAUGAACAGAACUAUUGAUGAAGUAUGAGUAAUUAUAUUUAUUGCUAUGUUGAAUAGAAUUGUGAAUGAACUAUUUCCGUUUAUUUUAUUAUUUUUUUGUACAAGGUGCUGUUUUUGUUUUAUAUGGCUCCAACUUCUAUGUAUCCACAUCAGAAAAUGAGGAAGCAUUGAAGUUAAAAACAAACGUUGGUCAUUUCAAUGAGAUACAAUUUAACACUGUAAUCAUAAAUCCACUUUUGUAUAAUGUGUUUUUCUCCUGGUUGAACGCAUACACGUUGUUGCAUUAGAUGGAUGUGACAUUGUGACGCUCAUGUGCUCAUUAUUAGUGAUUUAGGAUUACAUCUUAUAAAAACAAUAAAGACCCUGGAUCAGUACUAAAAUGAGAAACGGUGCCUUGUUGAUAUUGAAGUCCACAAAUUUACACCAAGGGUGUGAUAAUGUCUCUGUUUUGGGACUCAGUCCCUGACUGGAUUGUGGAACUUUGGAAAUUCCGUCACAUGCGUGGUGGGAAAGAUGUGAGUCAGAAUACUUGCAGUCGUUUAAUCACACAGCAAAUUGGUUUCGACAUUUAGUAAGCUGCUCAAAUGAAAUAUUGACUGAGCAUUUGUAGAGUGCUCUCUGGCUCAUUUGAUGGGAGUGCGCCACUUUCCAAAACAAAGACAGUGUUCAUUUCAGUUACACUGUGAUGGAAUCCUCUGUCUUCUCAAAGCAUGAUUGUAUCGCUUGAGUCAGGAAUAUUUACACAGUUAACCUUCAGUGUAAUGGAGCUAGGGAGCAAUCACGUUUACAGUGUAGAAAUUGCAAAUGGACUCAUCUAUUAAGAACACUGAGUCACAUGGUACAUCAGCCUCUUAAAUAAAUAGUAAUAAUAAAAUAUGUCAGUGAAUUUUUGCAUAAAUAGUAUUUCUGCUGUUAAGAAAUUCAUUUCAGCUGUCCAAACAUUAAUAACGCUUAAACUGCAAUAUGCUCACUGCAGAAACAACAGCAACAAAAAAGGAAACACCCACAAAUAACAAAAAAUAAGUAAUUAAGACAGCCAUAAAAAUGUCUAUUUUGACAGGGGUACCCACCACCGGGCCGCGGGAGGGGAGUUUUCAGGUGCAAUGAUUAAAAAAAUUAAAAGUACAUCAAGUUGUAUGUGAAUGCAUGUCUGGGGAUCAUAAUAGAUGAAAAAAAUGAGUUGGAAAUCUCAUAUCAAAAAUAUACAACAAAAGGUGGCGAGGAAUACUUCAAUAUCGAAUAAAGCAAAAUUUGUUCUUGAUCAAAAAUCACUCCACACUCUUUACUGUUCUUUGGUAUUACCAUAUCUAACGUAUUGUGUGGAGAUAUGGGCAAUCAGAAGAAAAGCAAUCUUCACUCAAUGUACUGCAAAAAAGAUGGGUGAAGAUCAUUCAUAAUGGGAACAUACAAACCCUGUAUUUUCAAAAUCACAGAUAUUAAAAUUUGCUGAUUUAGUACAUUUUCAAACAGCCAAAAUAAUGCAUAAAGUUAACAAUAAUUUGUGACCCAAAAACUCCAUACAGUAUUUCUCUAUAAGAGAGGAGAAAUAUGAUCUUAGAGGACUUGGACUGCUUGCUGCUGUAACAAGUGAAUUUCCCUGCUGUGGGAUGAAUAAAGUACAAUACAAUACAAUACAACACAAUUAAAGUUAAAACACUUUGAUGCGAGAACAACGCUGAAAAGCCACAGCAUUUCCAUGUGUGGAAUUAAAUGAUGGAACGGAUUGAGUAAGGAACUCAAACAAUGUACCGAGAUGAGUAAAUUCAAAAAACAAUACAAGCAGUUGAUGUUUGCUAAAUACAAGGCAGAAGAGUCUUGAUCAUCACAAUGAUUGUUCUGUCAUGCUUGUUUUUAUUGAUUUAUUUUUAAUGAUUUAUUAUUACACUGAUUAUUAUAUCAAAAAUAUGACAUGGAAUGCAGGAAGUGGAUAAUAUGUACUGUACAAGAUGUGGAAUGGAUGGGGGGUAGGAUUAAAUAAGCUUUGCUUCUUCCUACUCCUUUUGGACAUGUGGAACUGUGAAAGGAUGAUUCAUGAGAUGUACUGUAUAUCAGUGUAACCUUCAUGCAUGUUCAACUAAAAUCAAACCAAACCAAACCAAUAUCAAUUGUGGAAAUAUGGGAUAUUAUUUUAUUUUUUAAAUAAUAUACAGUUACAAAUCCCAUAGUUUGUUGUGAGCGCCCACCCGUCCCGCUUUGUUCGACGGUCCUUGAACACACUAUUGUGCAUGUGCUAACUUUCUCCCACGCUGCAUGGAUAGAUUACUGUAUUGUAUUUUUAGCAUUUUUCUUCCACCUCAUCUAUCCAUCCAUACAUUCAUCAUCCACCGCUUAUUCGACAUCGGGGGCAGCAGCCUGAGCAGGGAAGCCCAGACUUCCUUCUCCCUGGCCACUUCGUCCAGCUCCUCCUGGGGAUCCCGAGGUGUUCCCAGGCCAGUUGAGAGACAUAGUCUCUCCAACAUGCCCUGGGUCUUCCCCGAGGCCUCCUCCCGAUCGGAUGUGCCCUGAACACCUCCCCAGCGAGGCACAGAUGCCUGAGCCAACUCAUCUGGCUCCUCUCAAAGCGGAGGAGCAACGGCGGUCCUACUCCAAUUUCCCCCCGGAUGACAGUGCUUCUCAACUUAUCCUUAAGGAAUAGUCCAGCCACCCAUGGAGAAAACUCAUUUCGGCCGCUUGUACACACGAUCUUGUCCUUUCAGUCACUACCCAAAGCUCAUGACCAUAGCUGAGGGUAGGAACGAAGAUCGACGGGUAAAUUGAGAGCUUUGCCUUUCGGCUCAGCACCCUCUUCACCACAACCGUCCCAUGCAGGGUCCGCAUCACUGCAGACGCCGCACCAAUCCGCCUGUCCAUCUCGCAUUCCAUCCUUCGCUCACUCGUGAGCAAGACCGCAAGGUACUUAAACUCCUCCACUUGGGGCAGGAUCUCGUCCCUGGCCCGAAGGUGGCACGCCACCCUUUUCCGGGCGAGAACCAUGGACUCAGACUUAGAGGUGUUGAUUCUCAACCCGUCCGCUUCACACUUAGCUGCGAACCCAUCCAGUGAGAGGUUGAAGGUCACGGCUCGAUGAAGCCAGAAGGACCACAUCUGCAAAAAGCACAGACCCACCAAACUGGAACCCGUCAACACCCUGGCUGCGCCUAGGACUUCUGUCCAAAGAAGUAAUGAACUAGUAGUAACUCCAGGCUCGUACUAGUGUAUGGUCGGUCUGCAUUCAUUUUGUGAUUGUAAUUUGAUGUUGUUCCUGUCUUACUUUUACACAAUGCAUAAUAAAUAAGAUUCAUUAGAUCGCUGCACGAAUAAAAUAUAUAAUAUUUUGAUUAAAAACUGGCAAAUUUGCACAGAUCCACUGUAUAUUAUUAGUCACUGUGUUGUUGGUGUCUGCUGUCUUUGGUUAGGGAAAUGGGAUCCUAACAGAGAAAAAGACACAGUUCUUCUCUAUCCGCCAUCUGGCCUGCACUGCGAGAAGACAGGCUAAUUGUUCGGCUGCUGUGUGUUAACAUAUGUCAAAGAGAUCAUUUGGUGCUGGUGGUUGCCCCUGGUCAUGAUUAAGGCAAUUUUUUCUGUCAACAAAUCAUCCACCUUAGACAACUUACAUUUUGACAUAUUGAAUAGGUGAUCUCACUGAUAGGUAGGGCUUUUAUAACAAGACGUGAUUUCUGGUUUGGGGAAAAGUUUAUAUCGCGAGAACAGGGCAGCCAGAAGCCAAUCAGACUGUGAACUACUGCAUGGCUACUAAGAAUUAUAAUACAGUAAUAUAGAAGUAACAGUGUGCAAGGCAUUAUUAUUGUACAGUAAGUGCACAUUAAGUGCUUUAGUCACACCUUGCAAUCCAACCUACCUUGGUGUUCAGCAAGUGACGUGUGGCUUUUGUUCCAUCCGAGUUGCUUGCAGCUGCUUGCUCCUUGUUGAUGUCCAAGCAGAAGAUGUAGUAAUUCUACAUUUGAUCAAUUUUACUGAAGGUUUGUCAGAUCAGCCCACGUAGAUGUUUGAACUUGUCUGCACCCUUAAUCGCCGGUUCUAUUGACCCUCAUUGCAUUUGGGUAAGUGCUAACUUUUAAGCACGGGCGAUCAUAACACACCUCUUUCGUAGAAGAGAUCUGUGUUGACAAUUUAGCAACAUAGUCGGUAUAUUUAGCAAUUAAGGGUGUGCAUUUAAGUGCUUCUUGCAUCAUGCAUUUGUUCAGUAAUUAAAUACAAGCCAUCAACAAAGGCGACGUGUCCACCGAGUGGGCAAGUGGGAGUGAGCUUCAUAACUCCAUAACUCCAUGCAAUGCAAUGCACGUCUGAAAGCUGUAAAAAAAAUAAAUAAAAAAAAUAAAAAAAAAUCGGCAAUGCAACCCAGCCCUUGACCAACAUCGCCAAGAAGGCAGAGCUUGGACACACUCGCUUUCCUGGCAAAACAUGCAUGGGUGUCCAAAGUAUGGCACAGGGGCCAUCUGUGGAACAUGGCUCAUUGCAGAAAUAAAAUAAACAAAAAGCCAGCAAAAUUGAAAAAAUAGAGCAAAAAGGCAUAAUGUAACUAGAAAAAGCUAACAUUUUGAUACUAAUAACUAAUAAAAACACAAGGAUUAUCCUUCGUCAUAUUUUAUUGUGGUACUUUUUAAAAAAUUAAUAUUAACACGUUGUCUAGUCUCGUCCUGUGCAUCAUCUCGUCCCGUGAGCUGGGUGUCUCGUGACACCCCUACCGAACCGCUGCACACAAAAGGGUUUGUCAAAGCACGCACCCCUACUGUGUCGCCUGUGGUAUUAUUUUUCCGGACAAAUGCACCACCACAGACAGUGCUAUUGUUAAAUCCCGAAAUUUGACCCCAUUUUGCCGGAUAUAUGUGAAAUUUCUCACACAGCCCAGUGUGUUUGGAUCAACAGGGUGUUUAGUCGAAUCGCUACAGCAUUAGUACACACUCGCAGGGGACUGACUGGCAUGUCUGUAAAAUAAAAAUGGCCACCGUCCAACAAAACGUCUUUGCAGGGGUAUGGGCGGGACUUAGCAACUAAUUUCCCAGAAGUCAUUAACUAUUUGUCUAAUGAUUAUAAAACCUUGAGCACAUCUUCAAUUCCAAGUAUGGUAGUAUGUCUUCCAAAGUAUUUUGAGCACAGCCCACAGGAGGUGCCACAUAUGUCAUACGUACAUAGACAAAGCAUGUACAGUAUGUCCGCCCUUUCACGUUGCCUAUAAAGCCUGUGUUCAGUCUGCUCAGUUAUGUGUGGGCAGCACCAAAACAGACUGGAUGGGAGCGAUGUUGUGAUGGCAGGAAGUAGUGUGAGAGCUUUCAUGUUCAAUAUACAGUAUGAGUGAAUAUUUACAUGCGCCCUACUAUGCAUAUGUUGAUUUGGAUGUACAGUAGGCCCACCUCCUAGCUUUAGAACGGAAGGGAGGCAUUUAGCCUACAGUAAUUCUUUGGUCCCAAAGCCUCUUAGAUUUGUGCUAUCUUGUAUUUAAUGCUGAGAGAGCAUUGAGUAAUCCUCGUAGUAAUCUGCAGUGAGCUGCCCUUUGCUGAUGUUGUGCCAGGUUGAAUCGAGGGACAGCUGCUAUCAUGGUGCUCGUGCCGUUCCUUCACUGGCAUUCCCAUAUCCACCGGGGAGAAUUGAGUAUUUAUUGAGACAGAAUCUGCUCUACUUGGCACAAUUUUUGCCAAUCCUGCAAACUUCCAGACAAUAAUGUUGUAUGCUGUCUUCCUUUAAGUGCUUUGAUCUUAAGGUGUGUGAGUGUUUGGCUUCAGUAUUGUGGUUCAGUGGAACCUCAGUUAGCGUACGCCCCGGUUAGCAUGUUUUUUGCUUAAUGUCAAUAAAUGUAUGCCGAAAUUUCACCUCAUUUUCCUCAAGACGGCACGUGUUUUGUGUUAUUAAUACACCGCGUAAGUGCAAUUGUGUUCCUAUUGUAUUUUUGCCAUAAAAUGUUUUGGUUAGCAGCUUGCCAAUACAGUCGUCCCUCUCUACCACCGUGGUUCGAACAUUGCUCACUCACUCUAUUGCAGUUUUUCAAAAAUAAAUUCAUAAAUGAUUGCUGUUUUGUGGUUGACUGUGACCUAUUAUUAGUCACAAAAAUAUAAAAAGACAAGUAAUAUGUAGUAUUCUGGCCAAUAGGUGUCAGUAAUGUUUCAUUGCUGAGACACGACACGACAGAUUACCUGAACAUGCAUGCAUGAAGUCAGCCAUGCCGUGUCCGAAAUGAUAGAGUGAAAAAAGUUAUCCUCCCAUUCCGUGUGGAAGUGGUAAGUUUUUGCCCUCUUACUUUGUCCUUCCCCAUGGCGUUUGAAACACUUAGAAUAAGUCAGUUGGAGUGGCUAACUGGCUUGGUAGCUUGCUAUGCUAGCGGCGGCCAUCUCAUAUGUCCCCACAGUGAUCAUGUAGCCUGCGCAAUGUGGUGUAAACAAAGAAUAAUAGGAGUGUAAAGGUAUAGGGGUGUUAUUUAAUGUCUACAGGGCUCUAAUAAUGGUAAAAAAAAGUAUAAUAAAUAGGUUUUGUAUGUUCUAACUAUGAAAAUAUUCCAUUUAUUAGUACUGACACCGACUUUGCGGAAAUUUACUUAUCGUGGUCGUGUCUGGAAACAAUUAACUGCGUUAAACAAAGGAUGACUGUAUUUUAAACACCCACAUAGCAAGCUGCUAUUUCAGUUCAUUGGUAGAAAGCACCUUUAUGGGAAAUCCUGUUUUUAAGGUCAAAGCAUCUGCCUUUUUGUCAAGGUAAACCGAGGUCCAGCUGUCCUAUUUUGCCUCGACAAGCAAGCAUGUUUUCACUUCCUCUUUCAUCCCUUCCUUGUUUCUCUUCACUGUUUGCCUCCGUCCAGUGGACAGUGCACAGUCUAGUUGUUUUCCAGAUGGUCUGUGUUGAUUAGGCAGCUUUUGGAAGCUAUCACUCUGCCCAAACACUCCACAGCUGUGAGCUCUUGGAACGCUGUGGUAAAAUGUGCACGGAGCGAUUUGGAGCAGUCUACUGCUUCCUGAAACAAAUUGUUACAAAUUCACUCAUUUACGUUACAUUUGUCUUGAGCCCUGUAGGAAAGUGCUCCCAGUCUCAGAUGUGAAUAGGUAGUUUGAAGACUCACUGGUAAGCGGUAGUAAGUGUCCAUUUCUGUGCAAAUGUUUUUCCCAUAUUUUGCUGUGCUUCGACUCGCUGACAAUCCACAGGACAUUUUGCGUCCUCAUUUGCUGAUCAGGGAUCACCAGUCGGAGCUGUACCUCUGCAAACUGAAUGUUGUGCAUUGUAGAAAAGGGUGUAAAGUGGCUGGGCUCUCCUCUAAUUCUGUGUCUCGUUGUGGGUCAUUUGUUGAAGCUAUUCAUUUAAAAGUCAUGAAGUGUAUGAAGAGAUUCCAUUAAAAAAAAACAGAAGGCAGAGUUUAACAGCUGCAAGAGGUCAACUCUGAGGUUAUGACUUGAGUGCAUGGUGCAUUUGGAUGCUGAACAUGAAUAGUGUAAAUUGUUUCCAGGUCAUCAUGGCUUCUUCAAAUUAAAUCUCCAAACAGAUACAGUGGAUCCUCGCACAUUUGCGAUUCAGUAUGCAAAAACAGCCCGUUCUUAUUUCAACCAAAAAAAUCGCCAUCACUGGUGGUCGUGGAACGUUACCGAGGAUCGUUGUCAAGCGGGGAUCUUCUAUGUGAACCAGUUCUAUAGGAACAGACAUACUGUAUUUGACAAUACACAAGAAUACACACUACGGCGGUGUUUCCCAACCUUUAUUGAGCCAAGACACAUUGGCACAGUGGUCGGGAAUCACUGCACUACGGCAUGUAUAGUGACAGCGUAGGUGAGGGGUUUAGUUGUGUUUCUACGGAGACAGCGACUGGGUAAUACUUGAUUGUGUUUAUUGCUGUGGGCUACCUCACCGCUAUGAGAGUCUUCUCCCACACUCUGUGCUCAGAUCUCCAUGUCCCCGCCCGAACAAAUAUUUGAAGUCUUCUUACUCAAUAGUGUAUAUGGCCUUUGAUUGAUAUUGUACUUUGGUUUCUCACAGUGGCAUCACCACAGUUACUUAAAGAAUGUGUGAACACACGUCACACAUCACACCCAUCACCAUGAACACAUGAACAGGAGCACAAAGAAGACAUGCACAUCACAUGGGCUGCCUUUAAAUUGUUUGUUCCUUCCUGGGAUACCAAUCUUAGGGGGGCAGUCUGCACAGAUCGCCCAUUUUCACUUUGGAUGCUGAGUCAUUAACAUGCUAAGUACCUUUGUUUUUCUGUCUUGCCGAUCUCCGCUUCCUUGUCCUCUCGUCGUGUUAUUGCUAUUCCGCGAUUUUUCCGUUGUGCUUAUUUUAAGGCUCAUUCAAUUAUGUCAUACCUUAUUUAUGGAUUCAGCAUGGGUGUUUGUUUUUUUUCAUCUGCAACUUCCUGUCUGUUUUUUGGGAGAUAGUCAUCCCUCCUGGCUUUGUGCUUCAAAUUUCGUGGCUUCCACGGUUCUUCAAAAAUAUAUGAAUUAAUAAAUCGUUCUGUUUCAUGGUUGAAUUCGGCCUAUCAUUAGUCCAAAAAAUGUGCAUAUUUAAGCAUUUUUUUAACAUAUACUGUAUGUUGCCUAACUUAAGCAUUUCAAGCAUAAAUAUUGUUCACUGAUGUAAAAUACAAAUACGGGUGAUUAUCACUCCCUCGCUCUAUCACGAUUUUUAAAAAUUAAUUAAUAAAUGAUCGCUGUUUUGUGUUUUUUUUCUUUUUUACCAUGGCGUUUUAUUAGUCAAAAAAUGUUGAAAGACAAAGGUAAAUGUAGUAUUAUGGCCACUGGGCAUCAGUAAUGUUCCAUUAUUGUUCCAUGGAGUCAGCCAUGGCAUGUCCGACGGGAGAAAGCGAAAAAAAGUUCUCCCAUUCUGUGUGGAAGUGGUACGUUUUUGGCUUCUUUGUCCUUCUUCCCCACGCCUUUUUCAACUGGAAAUACAUUGGAGGCUAACAAGGCAGCUCGCUAGGUUGCUAAUGGUUAAACCCAGAGCUGUCUCUGUCUCUGUCUCUGUCCCUGCCGUCAUCCUGUAGCCUGUGCAUUACAGUUUAGCAAUGUGGUGUUAAAGAAUAAUAGGAGUGGAAAGGUGGAUGUGUUAUUUCAUGUCUGCAGGGCUUUACGAUAAACGAGGGAUGACUGUACAGUAGAAGGCAUUCAGAAGAUGCAUUACACCGGAACACAUUUUGUAUAGCGCUUUUCCACUUCCGAGGCACUCAAAGCACUUUGACACUGCUUGCACAUUUACCUACUGAUGACGCAGCAUCAGGAGCAACUGGAGGUUCAGUGUUGUGUCGACACUUCAACAUGAUCGUAGGAGGACGGAGGAUUGAAAAUGCACCCUUCGGGUUGGGAGACAACUACUCUACCCCCUGAGCCAUGCCGCCCCCAAAGGUGACGAUAGGGCUGUUAUUUCAUCUAUAUAUAUAUAUUUAAUCUUUAAAGCUUUAUUUAGAGGGUUGUGAACAGGUUUUCUAUACUCUAACUUCAGAAAUAUUAAAUUCAUAAAGGAGGAAUCCUACUUAUUCAGUUGUCAUGGUUGGGUCUGGAACCAAUUAACAGCAAUAAACAAGGGAUUAGUGUAUUGGGACAUUUGAUAUUUUAUUUAUUUACAUUUAAAUUUAAAAUGUAUUUUUCGUAAGUUUCUGCGUUAUGGAUAUAGCGUUAUUUGUUGUAUGACCAUGUCAGACUUUUAUGUUGAGUAAUGGCCUCCUUACUUUUCCGAUGUGUUGACAAGCUUGUUGGGAGUUCUGUAGUGGUACGUCUAAUCCAAAUAAAGAACACCAACGAAGUGAAAUUGGAUCAUUUUCCCAUAUCGCCAUAGCUCAGGUCCGGGACAGCUUCCGGUGGUGUUUGUCAACAGAUUUGUUACUUGUCUGAAACUUGAUUCUGGACUGAAUACUUGAUGGGGCCCAGCCUCAGGUAGACUCCACCUCCAGCCGUCCCCGGUUAAGUUGAGCUUGAGACCCCUGAGUCUGGGCUACAGUACCUGACGAACGUGAGACCACCAUUCACAUUUCUACAAAUAUUUCAUUAUAUUUUUUCAUGGGACAACACUGAAGAGGAUUCCAGAGGCAUUUCAUGCCCAAGAGAGUCAUGGCAGUGUUGGGAAAUAAUGCUAUACACACAAAAUAGUCACACUUUGGGCCCAGUUUGGAUAUUUUUACUUUGGGGUGUACUUAUUUUGAGGAGACAGUAAAUUUACACUGGUGUACAAGCUGUACACUGACUACUUAAACUGGAUCAAGGUGUCAUUUCUUCGGUGUUGUCCUGUGUUGAAAUGUGAAGGGUGUAUUCACUUUUUGUGAAAUCUCGAGUUUUAGAUUUUGCUGUAAACUUGACAUUGACUUUUUUGAACAGUACAGUGUGAGCAAACACUUCUGACGGCAUGAACUAAUAGCCCUCCUGGGCUCAAAACUGCACCCUAUUACACAAUAUUGCAAGUCUGCAGUCUAACAACUUGAGUUAUACCAGAGUCCAUCUAUCACAUCGGCCCUGCGCUUAUCGCUGCAGAGUUCAAAAUCAGCAUUCAGCUUCACUUAGCAACGCUGAAAUGAAAACAGCGUGCUCUUAUACCAUGCAGUGCGGGCUCACCCAGAGGGGGGUGUGAGUGAGAGAGAUGCAGGUAGUCGGGAGUGAUCUGACAGGACGAUCAUUGCUCUUAUCAAUCCAUCAGUCUAAUAAUCAGCUGUCAGUGAUCUUUAGUAGCGGUAAAGCCUCUCUGGAGUGUCAAUAUUGAAAGUGCUUGUUUAAGGAGAAAAGAAGCCCCGCCCUUGUGUGUCAGUCACAAAUCAAUGUGCAGGCAACCCUCCUCCCCCAUUGAGGAGUCCCACUCACUGGUAAGACCUCUGCUGGUGCUUCUAAUAAAUACAACUUCAACUUUGUGAUGGCAGGACUGCUACAUUGCCUCAGGAAGCUGUGUGUGGGGCUGCACAACCAAAAACACAUCUAAAUGACUUUCCUGUCUGAUCGCUGCCACUAAAACGAUGUUUAUGUGGGUGUGGGUGUGCGUGCGUGUGUGGGUAGUUGUGUUGUACCAGAUAAUGUAAGUUUACCACAGUCAGGGGUUCUCAGAUAAGCUCUGAUAGGACUUGAACGAUACAAGAGCAGACUUGGAUUGAAUUUACACAGCGUGCUGUGAGGAUCAGGAUGCAUGUUCACGUUCAAUUUGCUUGCACAUAUGCUGGUGUUUUCAUUCACCAGCUAGCGCCAUUUUCUUGUGAUAUAAGUCCCUGUUUCAUAUUUGAUGUGAGAAAUGUCAUGAAUAAUGCAAUAACUGUAAGCCACACUUAGCAUACUGGAGGUCCUCGGGUUACGAACGAGUUCCGCUCCUUGACUUUGAUGGCGGUCACGUUUUAGUGUAAGUUACACCUAAAUUCGACCCAAAUGAACUCCUAAGUCACUCACACUUUACACAGAGCAGAUGGAGGACAUAUAAAUAAGGUUAUAAAAAGAUUAAAUGAGACAGCAAUAAAAAGAGAACAACUCCUUACUUUUACUACUGUGGUUGUU